UACAUGGGGUGCAAACGUUGCUCGGAAUUAUUGGGCGUAAAGCGCGCGUAGGCGGUUACCUAAGUCGGAUGUGAAAGCCCUCGGCUUAACUGAGGAAGUGCACCCGAAACUGGGUAGCUAGAGUACUAAAGAGGGUCGCGGAAUUCCCGGUGUAGAGGUGAAAUUCGUAGAUAUCGAGAGGAACACCGGUGGCGAAGGCGGCCAACUGGACAGAUACUGACGCUGAGACACGAAAGCGUGGGGAGCAAACAGG
rnacentral:rRNA from 1 species